UUCAACGGCUGCCCCAUAAGA
ensembl:piRNA 21ur-121 ncRNA